rnacentral:lncRNA from 10 species
ACCCUUUUCUGGGAACGUGAGUAUCAACCAAGAAUGAAUCUCGCUGUGUUGUCCAGGCUGGAGUGCAGUGGCACCAUCUCGGCUCACUGCAACCUCUGGCUCCCAGGUUCAAGCGAUUCUCCUGCCUCAGCCCCCUGAGUAGCUGGGAUUACAGGCACGCGCCACCACUCCCAGAUGGAGUUUUGCUCUUGUUGCCCAGGCUGGAGUGCAAUGGCAAGAUCUCAGCUCACCACAACCUCUGCCUUCUUUUUUCUUCUGUUUUUAAAACUUGUGGUAAAAUCUAGAUAACAAAAAGUUUGCCAUUUUAACCAUUUUUAAGUGGACAGUUCAGUGGCAUUAGUUACAUUCCCAAUGUUGUGUAACCACCACUAUUAUCCAUUUCCAGAAGGUUUUCAUCACCCGAAACAGAAACUCUGUACCCAUUAAAUAGUAACUCCCCAUUCUACCCUUCUCUCCCUCCAUAACCUCUGUUUUACCUUCUGCAUCCAUCAAGUUGCCUGUUAUAGAUAAUUCACAUAGA